UUUUGUCCUUUCUUUAUUUGUGUAAAUGGAAGGCCAGUUUUGGAAUAAUAGGUAAAUUUGUUACACGUGAUUAGGAGUUCAUGUGUUCGAGCUGUGGAAUAGUUUCUUAUAGAAAUGUAAGUUGAGGCCGAAUAUAAUAGACCUUUGUGGUCCAACCCUUCCCUGUUUUUAGUGCACUGGGCUGCCCUUUUUGUACUUUCUUUAUUUGUGUAGAUGGAAGGUAAAGUAUUAGGCGGUUCGAGCUGUGGAAAUAAUAUCUUGUAGAAAUGAAAUUUGAGGGUGCGUAUAAUAGACCUUUGUGGUCCGGCCCUUCCCCGGCUUUAGUGCACUGAACUGCCCUUUUUGUCCUUUCUUUAUUUGUGUAGAUGGAAGUUAAAGUAUUAGGCGGUCAUGUGUUCGAGCUGUGGAAAUAAUAUCUUGUAGAAAUGUAAGUUGAGGGUGCGUAUAAUAGACCUUUGUGGUCCGGCCCUUCCCCGGCUUUUGUGCACCGGGCUGCCUUUUUGUCCUUUCUUUAUUUGUGUGGAUGGAAGGACAGUCUUGGAAUAACCGAUAAAGUUGUUGCAUGUGAUUAGGUGGUCAUAUGUUCGUAGAAAUAGUCUCUUGUAGAAAUGUAAGUUAGAGGCUGGUAUAAUAGACCUUUGUGGUCCGGCCCUUUCUCGGCUUUAAUGCACUUGACUGCCUUUUUUGUUUUUGAUAAAUAGUUGGUUAUAUAGUUUAUAAAGAAAACUCGCACACUUGAUAGUACCUCUUUUGUUGUUUUUUUGCAACUGGUAAAAAUUGGUUGUGGGUGUUCUUUCUUUACAAGGUUCUUUCAAUGAACAUAUAGCAGGUACCCUUUUUGUCCUUUCUUUAUUUGUGUAGAUGGAAGGGCAAUCUUGGAAUUAUAGGUAAAUUUCGAGCGGUCAUAUUUUCGAUCGGUGGAAACAACCUCUUGUAGAAAUGUAAGUUGAGGCUGCGUAUAAUAGACCUUUUGUGAUCCGUCCCUAGACUUUAGUGCACAAGACUGCCUUUUUGUUUUUGAUAAAUAGUUGGUUAUAGUUCACAAAGGAAACUUCACUUGAUAGUACCUCUUUUGUUGUUUUUGCAUUAUUUCUUGUUUUUGCAACUGGUAAAAAUUGGUUGUGGGUGUUCUUUCUUUACAAGUUUCUUUCAAUGAACAUAUAGCAGGUACCUUUUUUGUCCUUUCUUUAUUUGUGUAGAUGGUACGGCAGUCUUGGAAUAAUCGAUAAAGUUGUUGCAUGUGAUUAGGAGGUCAUAUGUUGUCUUUUGUAGAAAUGUAAGUUGAGGCCACGUAUGAUAGACCUUUGUAGUUCGGUCCUUCCCUGAAUCUGUGUAUAGCGAGAGUUUUAGUGGACUGGGCUGCCCUUUUUGUUUUUGAUAAAUAGUUGGUUAUAUCGUUCACAAAGGAAACUAGCACACUGUAGUACCUUUUUUGUUGUUUCUGCAUUGUUUCUUGUUUUUGCAACUGGUAAAAAUUGGUUGUGGGUAUUUUUUCUUUGCAAGGUUCUCUCAGUGAACAUAUAGCAGGUACCCUUUUUGUUCUUUCUUUAUUUGUGUAGAUGGAAGGGCAGUCUUGGAAGAAUCGGUAAAGUUGUCGUAUGUGAUUAGGAGUUCAUGUGUUUCAAUUGUGGAAACAACCCCUCGUAGAUAUUUUAGGUGAGGCUGCGUAUAAUAGA
rnacentral:lncRNA from 1 species